rnacentral:rRNA from 1 species
AUGUGUGUGCAACUAGACUACAUUACAAGCCAACUAAACAUCAAUAUGUGUGCAUUUAGACUACAUUACAAGAAAAGGUUGCACAUCGACUUUUGUCGAGGCAAUAGACUAGUUGCACAUCAAAGUUGUCAUGAUUGCUGGGUUGCAACCUCAUACAAAGGUGCAGCUCCAAACAUUAGUUUUGGAAAAAAGUUACACGAUAUAGUAAUAAAGUUGCACAAUACAGUAAUAGAGUUGCACAAUAUAGCAUCAAAAUUGGCAUCAAAAAAAUUCGUCAAAACAUACCUAUGCAGGAUCUAG